UACGUAGGGUGCGAGCGUAAUCGGAAUUACUGGGCGUAAAGCGUGCGCAGGCGGUUCGUGAUGUCUGAUGUGAAAGCCCCGGGCUCAACCUGGGAACUGCAUUGGAAACUAGCGGGCUGGAGUGUGGCAGAGGGGGGUGGAAUUCCACGUGUAGCAGUGAAAUGCGUAGAGAUGUGGAGGAACACCGAUGGCGAAGGCAGCCCCCCUGGGCUAACACUGACGCCUCAUGCACGAAAGCGUGGGGAGCAAACAGG
rnacentral:rRNA from 1 species